rnacentral:rRNA from 1 species
ACGUAGGCAGCGAGCGUUGUUCGGAAUUACUGGGCGUAAAGAGUGUGUAGGCGGUGCUCUAAGUUCGGUGUGAAAUCUCCUGGCUCAACUGGGAGGGUGCGCCGGAAACUGGAGUGCUUGAGCGUGGGAGAGGAGAGCGGAAUUCCUGGUGUAGCGGUGAAAUGCGUAGAUAUCAGGAGGAACACCUGUGGUGUAGACGGCUUUCUGGACCAUAGCUGACGCUGAGACGCGAAAGCGUGGGUAGCGAACAGGA